rnacentral:rRNA from 1 species
UACAGAGGGUGCAAGCGUUGUUCGGAUUUACUGGGCGUAAAGGGCGCGUAGGCGGCGCGGUAAGUCACUUGUGAAAUCUCUGAGCUUAACUCAGAACGGCCAAGUGAUACUGCAGUGCUAGAGUGCAGAAGGGGCAAUCGGAAUUCUUGGUGUAGCGGUGAAAUGCGUAGAUAUCAAGAGGAACACCUGAGGUGAAGACGGGUUGCUGGGCUGACACUGACGCUGAGUGCGCGAAAGCCAGGGGAGCAAACGGG